GUGGACAAAUAAAUAGUAAAGGAGAGGCAAGGAGCUGGAGCGAGGAACGGUAAAAUAAAGCAUGCCUGACUGCAAGAAGUGAUAAAACAAAAGGAUGCUUCAUUCUCAGGAGAUCCUUGGGAAGAGAGGCUUAACCACAAAGUUGUCCUGACACUCAUAGGUUGCAAAUAAUUUGGGACCCAAAGCCCAGAGAGUCUCUGUAAGAAAGGUGUGCACUUGUUUCAAAAGUCAGCAUUUCAAGAAAAUCAGACAGACUAUGCUAAGUGGAGAUUUAUAAAUAAACUGCUUUAUUUAUGCAUGCCUGGAUGACAGCUAAAGGCCUUGCUGUGGAACAGCAUAAUGGAACACCACCAGCAGCAGCAGUGCUCUGUCUGCCACCUCUCUGCCGGUAUUUGUGCCACAGCUCCGUGGCCCUUCUGGCCCUUCUCCAGCUUUGCUCCUGGAGUAAAAGUGAAUGAGAGUCGCUUCUUGUUCACUGUAAUGUAUUUGUCAGUGUAAAGCUUGGCUCUUCAGAAGCUAAGCAACACCCGUGCCCCCCUUCCCACCUGCCCUGUGCUAGAGGCAGCAGUUCCCAGAAGGGCUGCAGAUACAAAGGACACCGCUCCUCUGGGCAAAGACCUUCCAGCUCCACUCUGCUGGCCUUGCUUAGCCCUCCUUCCUCAGCUCUGAAAAGCACAGGCCCUGAGGCCAGUCUUCCUACAGCCUUUCCUCCAGCCAGACUCUCACCAGUUUCAGCAAGGACAGCAGAAACUGCUCUGUCACAACAGAAAGCAGCGGCUUUGUUUGUAGGGGCCUCUUGCCUUUGAAGAUGUUUGUUGCAACUUAGGUUUCACCUCCAUAGCACACUCCAUUGUGAAAGAGAGAAAAGCAGUUUUUCUCAGAGAAAAAUGCUUUAUUGACCUUGGUGCUGUCCGCGUGGUGUUCCUUCAGGGCCCUACAGCAGCACUGCACCAGAGCAGGGCCCACGAGAGAGCAGCGGGAAGGGCUGUGCUGGAGCCCUGCCGCACUCCCCCCUUGCCAGGAGAACCACGCAUGAACAGGUUCUUUCCCUGUGUGUCUGCAUGCCAAAGAGAGUCGGGCACCUAAGCGUGAGCCCGGCACAAUUAGCACUUAUGCAAAUACAGCACCUCUCUGCUUCCGUCUGUAGGGCGUGCUUCCAGGUCCCAAAGAGCCUGCAAGCCAGGCAGCGCACGAGUACAAGAAGGUGGCCCACGUGCCCGUACCCACAGAUGUGGGAACAGGAUGCACAUGCCCCAGGGUCAGGGUGAAGCUUCUGAGCUAGGAACACAUCCCACAGCUCGCUGGUAUCCAAUGCAUCAACUGAAAGUGCUUUCUUGGGUGCACCGAUAGAUGUUCUGCUUUGUGGAGAGCGCCAUGCGAGCGCAGCAAUCCUGCUGCAAGUGCUGCCUUGGUUCUGCACCCUCUGCACUGUGCCACGCUCCCACCACCCCGAAAGGCUGCCAGCACUGUCCUGUGUUUCCCCAAUGAUUAGAAUGUCAUCGCUUAUGGUUAAGAGCUUCGGGGACAUGUUGAAUUACUUUUCUGAUAUUAUCUUUACAUUUUUUCAAGAGCUUAGCAUAUUCCAAACAUUAAUCUUCUGUGCUGUCUUGAGGCAGUGUGACCAGAAAAUGCUUUGUCAGCUACAGUUGUGACAAAAAUGCCAGGCAUGCCUUAAAAAAAAAAAUAAAUAAAAAGGAAUCACCCCCUC